rnacentral:piRNA from 1 species
CUCUCAGAAACAGAACUGUAAUGGAGAUU